rnacentral:rRNA from 1 species
UACGUAGGGUGCGAGCGUUGUCCGGAAUUACUGGGCGUAAAGAGCUCGUAGGUGGUUUGUCACGUUGUCCGUGAAAACUCACAACUCAAUUGUGGGCGUGCGGGCGAUACGGGCAGACUGGAGUACUGCAGGGGAGACUGGAAUUCCUGGUGUAGCGGUGGAAUGCGCAGAUAUCAGGAGGAACACCGGUGGCGAAGGCGGUUCUCUGGGCCUUACCUGACGCUGAGGAGCGAAAGCGUGGGGAGCAAACAGG